rnacentral:rRNA from 1 species
GACGAACGCUGGCGGCGUGCUUAACACAUGCAAGUCGAACGGAAAGGCCCUGCUUUUGUGGGGUGCUCGAGUGGCGAACGGGUGAGUAACACGUGAGUAACCUGCCCUUGACUUUGGGAUAACUUCAGGAAACUGGGGCUAAUACCGGAUAGGAGCUCCUGCUGCAUGGUGGGGGUUGGAAAGUUUCGGCGGUUGGGGAUGGACUCGCGGCUUAUCAGCUUGUUGGUGGGGUAGUGGCUUACCAAGGCUUUGACGGGUAGCCGGCCUGAGAGGGUGACCGGCCACAUUGGGACUGAGAUACGGCCCGGACUCCUACGGGAGGCAGCAGUGGGGAAUAUUGCACAAUGGGCGGAAGCCUGAUGCAGCAACGCCGCGUGCGGGAUGACGGCCUUCGGGUUGUAAACCGCUUUCGCCCGUGACGAAGCGUGAGUGACGGUAAUGGGUAAAGAAGCACCGGCUAACUACGUGCCAGCAGCCGCGGUGAUACGUAGGGUGCGAGCGUUGUCCGGAUUUAUUGGGCGUAAAGGGCUCGUAGGUGGUUGAUCGCGUCGGAAGUGUAAUCUUGGGGCUUAACCCUGAGCGUGCUUUCGAUACGGGUUGACUUGAGGAAGGUAGGGGUGAAUGGAAUUCCUGGUGGAGCGGUGGAAUGCGCAGAUAUCAGGAGGAACACCAGUGGCGAAGGCGGUUCUCUGGGCCUUUCCUGACGCUGAGGAGCGAAAGCGUGGGGAGCGAACAGGCUUAGAUACCCUGGUAGUCCACGCUGUAAACGGUGGGUACUAGGUGUGGGGUCCAUUCCACGGGUUCCGUGCCGUAGCUAACGCUUUAAGUACCCCGCCUGGGGAGUACGGCCGCAAGGCUAAAACUCAAAGGAAUUGACGGGGCCCCGCACAAGCGGCGGAGCAUGCGGAUUAAUUCGAUGCAACGCGUAGAACCUUACCUGGGUUUGACAUGGAUCGGGAGCGCUCAGAGAUGGGUGUGCCUCUUUUGGGGUCGGUUCACAGGUGGUGCAUGGCUGUCGUCAGCUCGUGUCGUGAGAUGUUGGGUUAAGUCCCGCAACGAGCGCAACCCUUGUUCACUGUUGCCAGCACGUUAUGGUGGGGACUCAGUGGAGACCGCCGGGGUCAACUCGGAGGAAGGUGGGGAUGACGUCAAGUCAUCAUGCCCCUUAUGUCCAGGGCUUCACGCAUGCUACAAUGGCUGGUACAGAGAGUGGCGAGCCUGUGAGGGUGAGCGAAUCUCGGAAAGCCGGUCUCAGUUCGGAUUGGGGUCUGCAACUCGACCUCAUGAAGUCGGAGUCGCUAGUAAUCGCAGAUCAGCAACGCUGCGGUGAAUACGUUCCCGGG